rnacentral:rRNA from 1 species
CCUACGGGUGGCAGCAGUGGGGAAUAUUGGACAAUGGGCGAAAGCCUGAUCCAGCCAUGCCGCGUGUGUGAAGAAGGCCUUCGGGUUGUAAAGCACUUUCAGUGGGGAAGAAAGCCUUGGGGCUAAUACCCUCGAGGAAGGACAUCACCCACAGAAGAAGCACCGGCUAACUCCGUGCCAGCAGCCGCGGUAAUACGGAGGGUGCGAGCGUUAAUCGGAAUUACUGGGCGUAAAGCGCGCGUAGGCGGUCUGAUAAGCCGGUUGUGAAAGCCCCGGGCUCAACCUGGGAACGGCAUCCGGAACUGUCAGGCUAGAGUGCAGGCGAGGAAGGUAGAAUUCCCGGGGUAGGGGUGAAAUGCGUAGAGCUCGGGAGGAAUACCAGUGGCGAAGGCGGCCUUCUGGACUGACACUGACGCGGAGGUGCGAAAGCGUGGGUAGCAAACAGGAUUAGAUACCCCGGUAGUC